rnacentral:ncRNA from 1 species
AAAAUGGCAUUGAAUAGGAGAGUAAGCGAUUUUAUAUUCCAGAGAGAAGUCACCAGAGGCUGAGAGUGAUUUUAUUCCCUAAAAUUGCUGAAGUGCACCUAAGAGCUUUUCUUCUGAAAUAAAAGUAGGAAGAAACGGACUGUCCCGUUAGAGAGAUUGAGAGGAGUUUUUGCUCAAAUAGAGUGGAACCGCGAAUUUAUCGUCUCUAUA